UACGCAACCUUCCCAAAACAGGUGAAUAGCCCUCCGAAAGGAGGAUUAAUACACCGUAAGAUAAUGAGGUGGCAUCAUUUUAUUAUUAUAGAUAGCAAUAUCGGUUUUGGAUGGGCGUGCGCCUGAUUAGGUAGUUGGUGUGGGUAAUGGCCCACCAAGCCUUCGAUCAGUAACUGGUGUGAGAGCACGACCAGUCACACGGGCACUGAGACACGGGCCCG
rnacentral:rRNA from 1 species